CUACAAGAGGUAAGUUCCUUAGUGACUGCUACCAGUAGUGGACGUAUCAGUGUGUACAGUCUCAACACAGACCUCACCUCAGCACCACAACUGGUCACUUCCACUGACUGUGGCUGUAGGAUCACCUGUCUCACACUGUACGACUACAAGAGUGCGGUGAAAGUCAAGAAGGAAAAAUCAGAAGAGAAAAAUGUAAAUAAAAGAACAGUGAAUAGUGAAGAGAAGAAGAGAAAAAUAUCCGUGUCUGAAGAAACACCAGAACAGAAUAAAAAUAGUAGUCCAAAAAAGAAAGUCAACAAUUCAGAAUUUCUUGAAACAAAUGUAGUCAAGACUCCCAAGAAUUCAAAAUUACAAAAGAAGAAAAGUCAAGGAACGGUGACAGUUGUGUGUAGUCCUAGGACUCAAAAAUGGGUUGUGGAAGAUGGUAAAGGAUAGUGUCAGUAUUUAAAUAAAAUAUGAAACUUGUUUUUUAAUAUUAUGUCUUAUAUUUUAACCUUAAGGGUAUGUCAAACUUUAAAUUGUCUGUCCCUAAAGUAAUACAUAGGCUAAUUAACACUUUUUGAAUUUAAAUUAUUUCAUUUCAAGAGCAAGGAAGAAAAGAAAUAAAAUUCAUGUUAGCCUAAUAAAAAUAUACAUUUAUUAACAGAAUUAUACAAUACAUCACAGAACUAUCAACACUUUAAAUGGAGUGGUUAGGUACGUUGCCUGUUAGUCAAUCAUAAAGAGAUUCGUGCUUCUGCCAAUUUGGUUUCUAAUAGAAAAGAU